rnacentral:rRNA from 1 species
UACAGAGGGGGCAAGCGUUGUUCGGAAUUACUGGGCGUAAAGGGCGCGUAGGCGGCCUGUUAAGUCGAACGUGAAAUCCCCGGGCUCAACCCGGGAACUGCGUCCGAUACUGGCAGGCUUGAAUCCGGGAGAGGGAUGUGGAAUUCCAGGUGUAGCGGUGAAAUGCGUAGAUAUCUGGAGGAACACCGGUGGCGGAAGGCGGCAUCCUGGACCGGUAUUGACGCUGAGGCGCGAAAGCCAGGGGAGG